rnacentral:rRNA from 1 species
GAUCCUGGUUCAGGACGAACGCUGGCGGCGCGCCUAACACAUGCAAGUCGAACGAGCGAGAGAGAGCUUGCUUUCUCAAGCGAGUGGCGAACGGGUGAGUAACGCGUGAGGAACCUGCCUCAAAGAGGGGGACAACAGUUGGAAACGACUGCUAAUACCGCAUAAGCCCACGACCCGGCAUCGGGUAGAGGGAAAAGGAGCAAUCCGCUUUGAGAUGGCCUCGCGUCCGAUUAGCUAGUUGGUGAGGUAACCGG